CCCUAUCCAGUAGAGCUGAACAAUAUUCUCCAAAGAAAAUUCAUGUUUAAGGUUAUUGUCAAGAGAGAGAACAUUCACCUGCAAAAGGAAGUUUAUAGUGUUGUUAAGCUUACGGAUGAGGAGCAACUGAUAAACAAAUAUAGUCCUGAUCAACCUCCAGAUGACUUAACUGAACCUGACUUCAAUAAUAAUCAAGUCUUGGAUGGAGAGAAGGAAUGCGAGGAUUCCACUGAAGAUAACGAC